rnacentral:rRNA from 1 species
CCCUUAGAUGUUCUGGGCUGCACGCGCGCUACACUGAUGCACUCAACGAGUUUACGACCUUGCCCGAUAGGGUUGGGUAAUCUUUUUAAAAUGCAUCGUGAUGGGGAUAGAUUAUUGCAAUUAUUAAUCUUCAACGAGGAAUUCCUAGUAAGCGCGAGUCAUCAGCUCGUGCUGAUUACGUCCCUGCCCUUUGUACACACCGCCCGUCGCUCCUACCGAUUGAGUGCUCAGGUGAAUAAUCCGGACUGCAGCAAUGUUUGGAUCCCGAACGUUGCAGCGGAAAGUUUAGUGAACCUUAUCACUUAGAGGAAGGAGAAGUCGUAACA